rnacentral:rRNA from 1 species
CGCCCCGCGCCCGUCCCGCCGCCCCCGCCCGCCUACGGGAGGCAGCAGGGGGGAAUAUUGGACAAUGGGGGCAACCCUGAUCCAGCAAUGCCGCGUGUGUGAAGAAGGCCUUCGGGUUGUAAAGCACUUUCAGAUGUGAGGAAAGGUUACCGGUUAAUACCCUGUAACUGUGACGUUAACAUCAGAAGAAGCACCGGCUAACUCCGUGCCAGCAGCCGCGGUAAUACGGAGGGUGCAAGCGUUAAUCGGAAUUACUGGGCGUAAAGCGCGCGUAGGCGGUUUAUUAAGUCAGAUGUGAAAGCCCCGGGCUUAACCUGGGAAUGGCAUUUGAGACUGGUAGGCUAGAGUGUGGUAGAGGUGAGUGGAAUUUCAGGUGUAGCGGUGAAAUGCGUAGAGAUCUGAAGGAACAUCAGUGGCGAAGGCGACUCACUGGGCCAUUACUGACGCUGAGGUGCGAAAGCGUGGGUAGCAAACAGGAUUAGAUACCCUGGUAGUCCACGCCCUAAACGAUGUCAACUAGGUGUAUGGAGAAUUUAUUCUUUGUGUAUCGAAGCUAACGCGAUAAGUGA